UUUGAUCCUGGCUCAGGAUGAACGCUGGCGGCGCGCCUAACACAUGCAAGUCGAACGAAGCACUUUAACCUGAUUCUUCGGAUGAAGGUUUUUGUGACUGAGUGGCGGACGGGUGAGUAACGCGUGGGUAACCUGCCUCAUACAGGGGGAUAACAGUUAGAAAUGACUGCUAAUACCGCAUAAGACCACGGAGCCGCAUGGCUCAGUGGGAAAAACUCCGGUGGUAUGAGAUGGACCCGCGUCUGAUUAGGUAGUUGGUGGGGUAACGGCCUACCAAGCCAACGAUCAGUAGCCGACCUGAGAGGGUGACCGGCCACAUUGGGACUGAGACACGGCCCAAACUCCUACGGGAGGCAGCAGUGGGGAAUAUUGCACAAUGGGGGAAACCCUGAUGCAGCGACGCCGCGUGAGCGAAGAAGUAUUUCGGUAUGUAAAGCUCUAUCAGCAGGGAAGAAAAUGACGGUACCUGACUAAGAAGCACCGGCUAAAUACGUGCCAGCAGCNCGCGGCAAUACGUAUGGUGCAAGCGUUAUCCGGAUUUACUGGGUGUAAAGGGAGCGUAGACGGCUGUGUAAGUCUGAAGUGAAAGUCCCGGNGCUCAACCCCGG
rnacentral:rRNA from 2 species